rnacentral:rRNA from 1 species
UACGUAGGGGGCAAGCGUUGUCCGGAUUUAUUGGGCGUAAAGAGCGUUGUAGGCGGCCAGACAGGUCCGUUGUGAAAACUCAGGCUCAACCUCGAGAUGUCGAUGGAAACCGUCUGGCUAGAGCCGGAAGAGGAGUUGUGGAAUUCCUGGGUGUAGCGGUGAAAUGCGCAGAUAUCAGGAGGAACACCGGUGGCGAAGGCGGCUCU